AGGGGGGGUGGUGAGACGCCCUGUAUGGGUCCUGGGUCAGGGCCCGGCAGCCUCCUGUGCCCCUGGGCCUGAGGCUCCCAGAGAGCAGCACCCGCGGGGAAGAUACACGGUGGGAAACCAGGGGGAUGAGCUUGGGGCUGCGGAGAUGGGACACCUCAGGUAAGCAAGGGCAGAGCGAGAGAGACCGCCGCUGGGGGCAGGAAGACAAAAAGCUGCAACCAGAGACCAAGCAGGGGUCGGGGCCCAUCCAACAGGGAAGGACUAACAGUGAGAAACGACAAUUAGAGAAUCAGGCUGGAGGGGCCGAAGCUGUGACGUCGGCAGCUCUGGGAAACUGCGGAUAAUAAUCAAAAAAACCCAAAAACCCAUCUCUGAAAGACUCGGGCAUUCUGGUCAGAGACAGAAGAGAAGUAAGUUCAGAAGGAAGUCCAGGCAAGCAGGACACAGAAGGAAGCACAGACAAGCAAGACAGUUUUGAAAUAAGGAAUGCUCAUUUUGGGGUGAAUGAAAAAUAAGAAACAGAGGGGGAGGGGAGAAGAGAACAUCUAGCUGCUCUUGGAAAUUCAAGGCACCAGGCCCAGACCAACUGGAGAGCGGGCCCAGCGAGCCGCCGGCAGUGGUCCUCGAGAGAUCCAGAGCCGUGGCCCAAGGCUGUGAAGGGCUUU